rnacentral:rRNA from 1 species
GAUGAACGCUGGCGGCGUGCCUAAUACAUGCAAGUCGAGCGAACGGACGAGAAGCUUGCUUUUCUGAUGUUAGCGGCGGACGGGUGAGUAACACGUGGAUAACCUACCAAUAAGACUGGGAUAACUUCGGGAAACCGGAGCUAAUACCGGAUAAUAUUUUGAACCGCAUGGUUCAAAAGUGAAAGACGGUCUUGCUGUCACUUAUAGAUGGAUCCGCGCUGCAUUAGCUAGUUGGUAAGGUAACGGCUUACCAAGGCAACGAUGCAUAGCCGACCUGAGAGGGUGAUCGGCCACACUGGAACUGAGACACGGUCCAGACUCCUACGGGAGGCAGCAGUAGGGAAUCUUCCGCAAUGGGCGAAAGCCUGACGGAGCAACGCCGCGUGAGUGAUGAAGGUCUUCGGAUCGUAAAACUCUGUUAUUAGGGAAGAACAUAUGUGUAAGUAACUGUGCACAUCUUGACGGUACCUAAUCAGAAAGCCACGGCUAACUACGUG